GACGAACGCUGGCGGCGUGCUUAACACAUGCAAGUCGAACGAAGUGGCGAACGGGUGAGUAAUACGUGAGUAACCUUCCCUCCUUUUUGGGAUAAGCCUUGGAAACGGGGUCUAAUACCGAAUAAAGGGGGAUGGGCUCGCGGCCUAUCAGCGUGUUGCUGGGGUGAUGGCCUACCAAGGCGGUGACGUGUAGCCGGCCUGAGAGGGUGAUCGGCAAGGUUAGGACGGAGAUACUGCCAAGAGUGCUAGGGGAGGCAGAAAUGGGGGAUAUGGCACAAGGGGGGAAGGGCUGAUGCAGCGAAGCCGUGUGGGGAUGAAGGCUUUAGGGGUGUAAACCUCUUGAGCUAUCGAAUGGGUAGGUGGAGAAGAAGCGACGGCUAACUACGUGCCAGCAGCCGCGGUAAUAC
rnacentral:rRNA from 1 species